rnacentral:lncRNA from 1 species
GUUUACAUUUCCUUCAAGUCUACUUUUGAAAUUGCUUCCAAGAUGCUGGAAGAGGCAUAGAUUUUCUGGUUUCUAGAACAGCAAAUCUCUUUCAAAGCCAAGACUGAAAUAGGGGCUUGGAGGUGGUGUUCAUGUGACAGGAUUUUAAGGCCUGGGAUAAUUUUCACUGCUAUUGCCUGACUUCUGUCCAGCACCAUCAUGGCGGGUACAGCAGCAGUAGAUUGCAGUGGCUGUAAUAGGAGUUACAUUGAGACAAUACACUGUUUUUAUAAUGGUGACCGUGGAGCCCGUGAUUUUCUGCGCAAUGACAGUACUCUGUGGAAGUCUGUGUAUUGCCCUCACUGCAAGAAGCCAUGUCAGCUCAGGGAGGACCAAGAGACAUGGUUUUGCACUAGUGUGACAAGAAAAAGAGGGAUCAAGGAUUGCUCUUUCAGCUUGCCCAGCUUUAUUAGCCGCAGGUGGAGGAGAAUGCCAUCCUCAUGCUCUGAUUCCAGUUGAGCUUGAGAGCAAUCCAGAUGAUGCAGAUGAUCCAACAGAACACUGUCCACCUCCAGAGAUGUGUUGAGGAGCCAGACGAUCACUUAAUUGUCUCAAACAGUGCAGUUAACAGGCUUCUAUGACCUGCUAGAAGGGCAGCAGGUUACAACAAGCAGCUUAAGAUAAUUGCCCUUGGACUGUGCAGGGGUGAUGCACAACCUUUUGAAGAUAAAGAUGUCCUUAACAGGGAGUAAAGGGAUUAUCUUCCCUGGCUGAGCCAAAGAAACUUAUGGAAAUUUAUGGUUGUCCAACAGAUCACAGACUUUGUUAACACGCAUUCCA